rnacentral:rRNA from 1 species
UACGUAGGGGGCUAGCGUUGUCCGGAAUCAUUGGGCGUAAAGCGUGCGCAGGCGGUUGUGCAAGACCGAUGUGAAAUCCCCGGGCUUAACCUGGGAAUGGCAUUGGUGACUGCACGGCUAGAGUGUGUCAGAGGGGGGUAGAAUUCCACGUGUAGCAGUGAAAUGCGUAGAGAUGUGGAGGAAUACCGAUGGCGAAGGCAGCCCCCUGGGAUAACACUGACGCUCAUGCACGAAAGCGUGGGGAGCAAACAGG